UCCCGGGUUGCCUUAAAAAUGCGUUCGUCAUGGUCAGUCAUAUAACGACGUUAAGACUGGCAUCUAGACGGUUCUAGAUUUUGAAAAUAGGGUGUCAGGUGAAUUUUUAAGAUAGUAACAUCUCAACGGAUACGUCGUGGAUUCGAGUUCUCAGUUGAGAUAAAAACGACCGUCACGGAAGCGAAGUAUCCUGACGUUGUCGGGCAUGUAUACGCAUGAAUUGGCGAGUAGACAAAUCACGCUCGAUCGAUCAACUCAAUAAGUCGGCCAUUACACAUCGUCUCUCGCCGCAAUCUCAUCGGGUCGUCCUGUCACGUUCGUCGCAGUGCGUAAAUCUCGUUAGUUGUAUUUCGCGCGAAUCGCAUCUGGCAGGAAUAAAUGACGCUCCGGUCGGCAUCGCGAUGCGUCACGCGCGCCAUUCAGGAAAGCCCGACAACGACGGCGAUGGUCCCUCCUUCGCGGAAACCCGACGCGUGCUGGCUUGAACCGGGCGAGUUCGCUCUAUUAACGGCCAUUAGGUCAAGCCGUUCGCGUGCCACGUGGUGAUUUUCCGUAAAUUAACAUGUGACCUUUACGUGGAAUAAUGAUAGACCAUGGAGAAAGAACACACGGAAUAGGAAGAAAGAGUCAAAGCGCCUCGAAUUCGCUUGGCCGCCAUUCGGUUUUAAAGCGCAGGAGUCUUCGCGAUUGGACAAUGGUCAACAUAAGGGAACUCUCCACGGUGGUAUCUCAACACAUUUCAACGGCAGAACGUCUUGACGAUGAGAAAAGCGAUUGCAGGCGACUCGACACAUGUCGGUGAGUCGCAACGCUUUUAAAAAGGAAAGAUCCCGUCGCCUUUUCUUCAUCGUAAACGCUCGCGCAACAAUAUUCGCUCGUGUCUUUUUUUCUCGCCACGUAAUCGCUCCGAUUCGCCACGUAAUGAUUAUCUAGCAAUUAAUCGGUAACACGUUUUGCGAUAUAUACAUUGAACGUUUUCGCGUCUUGAACACGACUUUUAAUACGGCUGAUAUUGUCGAUAUUAUUCUCUUUAAUAUAAUUUCUAGACUAGAAGAAAAAAUAUAUAAAAAAUAUUCCGUGAAUACUAUGAUAAAAUAUUUUCUUAAAUCUAAAUUCUUUUAUUUAAAUAGAAUAAACAAUUGACUAUAGUUAUUCAAGAAU